rnacentral:tRNA from 1 species
GCCGUUGUAGCUCAGUGUAGUAGAGCGUUUGGUCUUGUAAACAAAGGUCCCUGGUUCGAUCCCGGGCUGCGGGCA